rnacentral:lncRNA from 1 species
CCAGGGGAAGAAGCGCCUGAGAGCGCAGGCCCUCCCCAGCGCAGGCUGUUACUGCUGGCUUUCUUGUUCCUUGAAAGUGCUUUCAGACAUGAAGUUGACAAAGGAAAUUAACAACAGCGUGUUCAAGAAGCUGCAGAAACUUCCCUCGGCUCCUAAGAUCCUUCCGCAAAAGGCUGCAUGUGCAGGUGGGACUUCUCCUCCUUCGUUGCUGGAUGGAAAUGAGCGCUGCGCGGCUCAGUGAUGCAAUUCAGCCACGGCUGCAGGCCAGGCCUGACUGUGGGACCGCGGCCCAGUCCUCACCCUCAGUGCCUCAGAUCUGGAAAGACACCCCCCGCACCCCCCUCUAAGGCCAGCCUUGAAGAUCAACAGGACAGGUGUUCUAAAAGCCCCCAUCUCUUCUGAGCCACAUCUGCAAAGAGGAAUGAAAACAGCUGGAGUUACAGACGGUCCUCAGCCAGUCGUGGGGAAGCAGCAUGGGAGUGGGAGCAUGGCCCUCAGAGCCUGAUCUCUGUGGCUGGACCUUCAGGGAAGGGAACAGGGAACGUGGGCACCAGCAGUGCUGGGGGUGAACUCCCGGCCCCUGCUGAGU